rnacentral:rRNA from 1 species
CCUACGGGUGGCAGCAGUGGGGGAUAUUGCACAAUGGGGGAAACCCUGAUGCAGCGACGCCGCGUGUGGGAAGACGGUCCUCUGGAUUGUAAACCACUGUCCCCAGGGACGAAGAUGACGGUACCUGGGGAGGAAGCUCCGGCUAACCACGUGCCAGCAGCCGCGGGAAUACGUAGGGUGACAGCGUUGUCCGGAAUUAAUGGGUGCAAAGGGAGGGUAGGCGGGGAUGAAAGUUGGGUGUAAAAACUACCGGCUAAACUGGUAAUCGCACUUGAAACUGCAGCUUUUGAGUGAAGUAGAGGCAGGCGGAAUUCCUAGUGUAGCGGUGAAAUGCGUAGAUAUUAGGAGGAACACCAGUGGCGAAGGCGGCCUGCUGGGCUUUUACUGACGCUGAGGCGCGAAAGUGUGGGGAGCAAACAGGAUUAGAUACCCUUGUAGUC